AUUUUAGGUGCUAAUAUGUGCAUUUUAGGUGCUAAUAUGUACAUUUUAGGUGCUAAUAUGUACAUUUAGGUACUAAUAUGUACAUUUUAGGUACUAAUAUGUACAUUUUAGGUGUUAAUAUGUACAUUUUAGGUGCUAAUAUGUACAUUUUAGGUGCUAAUAUGUACAUUUUAGGUACUAAUAUGUACAUUUUAGGUGCUAAUAUGUACCAUUAAGGUACCAAUAUGCACCCUUUAGGUACAAAAGUGUACCUUUUGAAAAGGUACAGACCCAGUGACAGCUUUUGUACCUUU